rnacentral:snoRNA from 1 species
UAAAUAAAUAGAUCCUCUUUUGCAAUCCAGAUCUCAUUGUUCAGUAUGGGUUUUGAUACAGAUAAAAAGGAACAUG